rnacentral:rRNA from 1 species
UACGUAGGGGGCUAGCGUUGUCCGGAAUCAUUGGGCGUAAAGCGCGCGUAGGCGGCCCGGUAAGUCCGCUGUGAAAGUCCAGGGCUCAACCCUGGAAAGCCGGUGGAUACUGCCGGGCUAGAGUCCGGAAGAGGCGAGUGGAAUUCCUGGUGUAGCGGUGGAAUGCGCAGAUAUCAGGAGGAACACCGAUGGCGAAGGCAGCUCGCUGGGACGGUACUGACGCUGAGGAGCGAAAGCGUGGGGAGCGAACAGG